UGCUACCUCAGAACACCGAAGACCCGGCGC
rnacentral:piRNA from 1 species